rnacentral:rRNA from 1 species
UACGUAGGGCGCAAGCGUUGUCCGGAAUUAUUGGGCGUAAAGGGCGCGUAGGCGGCGUGUUAAGUCAGCUGUGAAAUCUCCGAGCUUAACUCGGAACGGUCAGCUGAUACUGAUGUGCUAGAGUGCAGAAGGGGCAAUCGGAAUUCUUGGUGUAGCGGUGAAAUGCGUAGAUAUCAAGAGGAACACCUGAGGUGAAGACGGGUUGCUGGGCUGACACUGACGCUGAGGCGCGAAAGCCAGGGGAGCAAACGGG